rnacentral:rRNA from 1 species
CCUACGAGAGGCUGCAGUGAGGAAUAUUGGUCAAUGGGCGCGAGCCUGAACCAGCCAAGUAGCGUGAAGGAUGACUGCCCUACGGGUUGUAAACUUCUUUUAUAAAGGAAUAAAGUGAGGCACGUGUGCCUUUUUGUCUGUACUUUAUGAAUAAGGAUCGGCUAACUCCGUGCCAGCAGCCGCGGUAAUACGGAGGAUCCGAGCGUUAUCCGGAUUUAUUGGGUUUAAAGGGAGCGUAGAUGGGUUGUUAAGUCAGUUGUGAAAGUUUGCGGCUCAACCGUAAAAUUGCAAUUGAUACUGGCAGUCUUGAGUACAGUUGAGGUAAGCGGAAUUCGUGGUGUAGCGGUGAAAUGCUUAGAUAUCACGAAGAACUCCGAUUGCGAAGGCAGCUUACUAAACUGCCACUGACAUUGAUGCUCGAAAGUGUGGGUAUCAAACAGGAUUAGAUACCCCUGUAGUC